UACGUAGGGUGCGAGCGUUAAUCGGAAUUACUGGGCGUAAAGCGUGCGCAGGCGGUUUUGUAAGCCAGAUGUGAAAGCCCGGGGCUUAACCUGGGAAUGGCAUUUGGGACUGCAAGGCUUGAGUGCGGCAGAGGAGACUGGAAUUCCUGGUGUAGCAGUGAAAUGCGUAGAUAUCAGGAGGAAUACCGAUGGCGAAGGCAGGUCUCUGGGCUGACACUGACGCUCAUGCACGAAAGCGUGGGGAGCAAACAGG
rnacentral:rRNA from 1 species